rnacentral:rRNA from 1 species
AGAGUUUGAUCCUGGCUCAGGACUAACGCUGGCGGCGUGCCUAACACAUGCAAGUCGAACGAAGUAGCAAUACUUAGUGGCAGACGGGUGAGUAACACGUGGUCAACCUGCCCUUCAAUGGGGGAUAACUAGCCGAAAGGUUAGCUAAUACCGCAUACGAUCGCCGAGUGGCAUCACAUGGCGAUGAAAGGAGUAAUCCG